UACGGAGGGUGCAAGCGUUAUCCGGAUUUACUGGGCGUAAAGGGUGCGUAGGCGGGCAGGUAAGUCCGUGGUGAAAUCUCUGAGCUUAACUCAGAAACUGCCAUGGAUACUAUUUGUCUUGAAUGUUGUGGAGGUAAGCGGAAUAUGUCAUGUAGCGGUGAAAUGCUUAGAUAUGACAUAGAACACCAAUUGCGAAGGCAGCUUACUAGACAAAUAUUGACGCUGAGGCACGAAAGCGUGGGGAUCAAACAGG
rnacentral:rRNA from 1 species